GACGAACGCUGGCGGCGUGCUUAACACAUGCAAGUCGAACGAAGUGGCGAACGGGUGAGUAAUACGUGGGUAACCUGCCCUCCUUUUUGGGAUAAGCCUUGGAAACGGGGUCUAAUACAGAAUCAAGGGGGAUGGGCUCGCGGCCUAUCAGCUUGUUGGUGGGGUGAUGGCCUACCAAGGCGGUGACGGGUAGCCGGCCUGAGAGGAUAACCGGCCACAUUGGGACUGACAUACGGCCCAGAGUGCUACGGGAGGGAGAAGUGGGGGAAAUGGCACAAUGGGCGAAAGCCUGAUGCGGCGAAGCCGCGUGGGUGUUGAGGGCGUUCGGGUUGUAAGCCUGUUGCGCUAGCUAACGGGUAGGUAGCCAGAAAGCGCCGGCUAACUACGUGCCAGCCGCCGCGGUAAUAC
rnacentral:rRNA from 1 species